CCUACGGGCGGCAGCAGUGGGGAAUAUUGCGCAAUGGGCGAAAGCCUGACGCAGCGACGCCGCGUGAGGGAUGAAGGUCUUCGGAUCGUAAACCUCUGUCAGCAGGGAAGAACGGUCACUGUGCUAAUCAGCAGUGAAUUGACGGUACCUGCAAAGGAAGCCCCGGCUAACUACGUGCCAGCAGCCGCGGUAAUACGUAGGGGGCAAGCGUUAUCCGGAUUUACUGGGUGUAAAGGGAGCGUAGGCGGCGAUGCAAGUCAGAAGUGAAAGCCCGGGGCUCAACUCCGGGACUGCUUUUGAAACUGUGUUGCUAGAUUGCAGGAGAGGUAAGUGGAAUUCCUAGUGUAGCGGUGAAAUGCGUAGAUAUUAGGAGGAACACCAGUGGCGAAGGCGGCUUACUGGACUGUAAAUGACGCUGAGGCUCGAAAGCGUGGGGAGCAAACAGGAUUAGAUACCCUUGUAGUC
rnacentral:rRNA from 1 species